rnacentral:tRNA from 1 species
GGCUCCGUAGCUCAACUGGAUAGAGCACCGGCCUUCUAAGCCGGCGGUUGUUGGUUCAAGUCCAACCGGAGUCGCCA